CCUACGGGUGGCAGCAGUCGAGAAUCAUUCACAAUGGGGGAAACCCUGAUGGUGCGACGCCGCGUGGGGGAAUGAAGGUCUCCGGUUUGUAACCCCCUGUCAUGUGGGAGCAAAUUAAAAAGAUAGUACCACAAGAGGAAGAGACGGCUAACUAGGUGCCAGCAGCCGCGGUAAUAAAGAGGUCUCAAGCGUUGUUCGGAAUCACUGGGCGUAAAGUGUGCGUAGGCUGUUUCGUAAGUCGUGUGUGAAAGGCGCGGGCUCAACCCGCGGACGGCACAUGAUACUGCGAGACUAGAGUAAUGGAGGGGGAACCGGAAUUCUCGGUGUAGCGGUGAAAUGCGUAGAUAUCGAGAGGAACACUCGUGGCGAAGGCGGGUUCCUGGACAUUAACUGACGCUGAGGCACGAAGGCCAGGGGAGCGAAAGGGAUUAGAUACCCGAGUAGUC
rnacentral:rRNA from 1 species